rnacentral:rRNA from 1 species
CCCUUAGACGUUCUGGGCCGCACGCGCGCUACACUGACGGAGCCAGCGAGUAUAAACCUUGGCCGAGAGGUCUGGGAAAUCUUGUGAAACUCCGUCGUGCUGGGGAUAGAGCAUUGUAAUUAUUGCUCUUCAACGAGGAAUUCCUAAUAAGCGCAAGUCAUCAGCUUGCGUUGAUUACGUCCCUGCCCUUUGUACACACCGCCCGUCGCUACUACCGAUUGAAUGGCUUAGUGAGGCUUCCGGAUUGGUUUAGAGAAGGGGGCAACUCCAUCUUGGAACCGAGAAGCUAGUCAAACUUGGUCAUUUAGAGGAAGUAAAAGUCGUAACA